UACGAAGGGGGCUAGCGUUGCUCGGAAUUACUGGGCGUAAAGCGCACGUAGGCGGCUUCUUAAGUCGGAGGUGAAAUCCUGGAGCUCAACUCCAGAACUGCCUUCGAUACUGGGAAGCUCGAGUCCGGGAGAGGUGAGUGGAACUGCGAGUGUAGAGGUGAAAUUCGUAGAUAUUCGCAAGAACACCAGUGGCGAAGGCGGCUCACUGGCCCGGUACUGACGCUGAGGUGCGAAAGCGUGGGGAGCGAACAGG
rnacentral:rRNA from 1 species